GACGAACGCUGGCGGUGUGCUUAACACAUGCAAGUCGAGCGGUAAGGCCCUUUCGGGGGUACACGAGUGGCGAACGGGUGAGUAACACGUGAGUAACCUGCCCUCAUCUCUGGGAUAACAGUCGGAAACGGUUGCUAAUACUGGAUAUGAGCUUGCAAGGCAUCUUGUGGGUUGGAAAGAUUUUUUUUGGUUGGGGAUGGACUCGCGGCCUAUCAGCUUGUUGGUGAGGUAGUGGCUCACCAAGGCUUCGACGGGUAGCCGGCCUGAGAGGGCGACCGGCCACAUUGGGACUGAGAUACGGCCCAAACUCCUACGGGAGGCAGCAGUGGGGAAUAUUGCACAAUGGACGGAAGUCUGAUGCAGCAACGCCGCGUGCGGGAUGACGGCCUUCGGGUUGUAAACCGCUUUCAAUUGUGACGAAGCUUUUUUGUGACGGUAGCAGUAGAAGAAGCACCGGCUAACUACGUG
rnacentral:rRNA from 1 species